AAUAAGUGCAGUUUUGACUAUUCAUGUCUAACCUUUGACCGUUCGUUUUAUUUGAUUUUUUUUAAUAAUUAGUAUUUUUAUUGUUAUUAGAUGAUAAAACAUGAAUAGUACAUUAUAUGGGACUAAUUUUUUUCAUUUUUUUCAUAAUUUUUUCAAAUAAGACGGACGGUCAAACGUUGGACACGGAUACCCACGACUGCAUUUAUU
rfam:Oryza rufipogon genomic scaffold, chr06